CUGGCUCUGGUUGAGACCCAGAAGAGUCAUGCAUCAGAAUAAAGGUGGACAGGAAAUACCCUGGCCUUUGUAGGGACUGAGCCUGCACCGACGACUUCAAUUGCAGCUUGUAUGGAGGACCCCUGACCAUCCCCCAGAAGUAGACUCCCAUCUCUUCUGCAGCAAGAUAACAUGCUACUAGGCCUCAAUUCAUUGCUAAACAUUUUUUAACAAGUAUCUCACAUUUAACAAAAAAAGAUCAGUCAUAUGGCAGCAAAAUACAAUGUCAUAUGACCAAAACAUGAAAGACUGUGAAAAUGAAUCUGGAGGUGACCCAAGCAUUGAAUUCAACAAUCCAGGCUGGGUGCGGUGGCUCACACUGGGAGGCUGAGGUAGGCAGAUCACCUGAGGUCAGGAGUUCAAGACUAGCCUGGCCAACAUGGUGAACCCCUGUCUCUACUAAAAAUACAAAAAUUGGGCCGGGCACGGUGGCUCACGCCUGUAAUCCCAGCACAUUGGGAGGCCGAGGUGUGCGGAUCAUGUCAGGAGUUCUAGACCAGCUUGGCCAAUAUGGUGAAACCCCGCCUCUACUAAAAAUACAAAAAUUAUCCGGGCAUGGUGGCAUAUGCCUGUAGUCCCAGCUACUCAAGAGGCUGAGGGAUAAGAAUCGCUUGAACCUGGGAGGUGGAGGUUGCAGUGAGCCAAGAUCAUGCCACUGCACUCUAGCCUGGGUGACAGAGUGAGACUCUGUCUCAAAAAAAAAAAAAAAAAAAAAAAUUGGUCAAAUGUGGUGGCACACACCUGUAAUCCAAGCUACUCGGGAAGCUGAGGCAGAAUUGCUUCAAACUGGGAGGCAGAGGUUGCAGUGAGCCAAGAUUGCACCAUAGCACUCCAGCCUGGGCGACAGAGCGAGACUCUAUCGCAAAAUUAA
rnacentral:lncRNA from 10 species